rnacentral:rRNA from 1 species
AGUGAACGCUGGCGGCAGGCCUAACACAUGCAAGUCGAGCGGCAGCGGGUCCUUCGGGAUGCCGGCGAGCGGCGGACGGGUGAGGAAUGCAUCGGAAUCUGCCCUGUCGUGGGGGAUAACCUAGGGAAACUUAGGCUAAUACCGCAUACGACCCACGGGUGAAAGCGGGGGAUCGCAAGACCUCGCGCGAUAGGAUGAGCCGAUGUCCGAUUAGCUAGUUGGCGGGGUAAAGGCCCACCAAGGCGACGAUCGGUAGCUGGUCUGAGAGGAUGAUCAGCCACACUGGGACUGAGACACGGCCCAGACUCCUACGGGAGGCAGCAGUGGGGAAUAUUGGACAAAGGGCGCAAGCCUGAUCCAGCCAUGCCGCGUGGGUGAAGAAGGCCUUCGGGUUGUAAAGCCCUUUUGUCCGGGAAGAAAUCGUCUGGGCUAAUACCCCGGGCGGAUGGCGGUACCGGAAGAAUAAGCACCGGCUAACUUCGUG